rnacentral:rRNA from 1 species
UACGGGGGGAGCAAGCGUUGUUCGGAUUUACUGGGCGUAAAGGGCGCGUAGGCGGUCAGCACAAGUCAGUUGUGAAAUCUCCGGGCUUAACUCGGAAAGGUCAACUGAUACUGUGCGACUAGAGUGCGGAAGGGGCAACUGGAAUUCUCGGUGUAGCGGUGAAAUGCGUAGAUAUCGGGAGGAACACCUGUGGCGAAAGCGGCGCACUGGACCAUAACUGACGCUGAGGCGCGAAAGCUAGGGGAGCAAACAGG